AUCCAAAUGACGAGUCCUGAAUGGGACGAAAUACGUGUCCUGGAU
rnacentral:hammerhead_ribozyme from 1 species